rnacentral:rRNA from 1 species
AAUAGAUACCCUGGUAGUCCACGCCGUAAACGAUGAGUGCUAAGUGUUAGAGGGUUUCCGCCCUUUAGUGCUGCAGCUAACGCAUUAAGCACUCCGCCUGGGGAGUACGGUCGCAAGACUGAAACUCAAAGGAAUUGACGGGGGCCCGCACAAGCGGUGGAGCAUGUGGUUUAAUUCGAAGCAACGCGAAGAACCUUACCAGGUCUUGACAUCCUCUGACAACUCUAGAGAUAGAGCGUUCCCCUUCGGGGGACAGAGUGACAGGUGGUGCAUGGUUGUCGUCAGCUCGUGUCGUGAGAUGUUGGGUUAAGUCCCGCAACGAGCGCAACCCUUGAUCUUAGUUGCCAGCAUUCAGUUGGGCACUCUAAGGUGACUGCCGGUGACAAACCGGAGGAAGGUGGGGAUGACGUCAAAUCAUCAUGCCCCUUAUGACCUGGGCUACACACGUGCUACAAUGGAUGGUACAAAGGACUGCAAGACCGCGAGGUCAAGCCAAUCCCAUAAAACCAUUCUCAGUUCGGAUUGU